GACGAACGCUGGCGGCGUGCUUAACACAUGCAAGUCGUACGGUAAGGCCCUUUCGGGGGUACACGAGUGGCGAACGGGUGAGUAACACGUGAGUAACCUGCCCACAACUUUGGGAUAACGCUAGGAAACUGGUGCUAAUACUGGAUAUGUGCUCCUGCUGCAUGGUGGGGGUUGGAAAGCUCCGGCGGUUGUGGAUGGACUCGCGGCCUAUCAGCUUGUUGGUGGGGUAGUGGCCUACCAAGGCGGCGACGGGUAGCCGGCCUGAGAGGGUGACCGGCCACAUUGGGACUGAGAUACGGCCCAGACUCCCACGGGAGGCAGCAGUGGGGAAUAUUGCACAAUGGGCGCAAGCCUGAUGCAGCAACGCCGCGUGCGGGAGGACGGCCUUCGGGUUGUAAACCGCUUUCAGCAGGGACGAAGCUUUUUGUGACGGUACCUGCAGAAGAAGCACCGGCUAACUACGUG
rnacentral:rRNA from 1 species